GGAAUAUUGCGCAAUGGAGGAAACUCUGACGCAGUGACGCCGCGUAUAGGAAGAAGGUUUUCGGAUUGUAAACUAUUGUCGUUAGGGAAGAGAAAGGACGGUACCUAAGGAGGAAGCCCCGGCUAACUAUGUGCCAGCAGCCGCGGUAAUACAUAGGGGGCGAGCGUUAUCCGGAAUUAUUGGGUGUAAAGGGUGCGUAGACGGGAAAUUAAGUUAGUAGUGAAAUCCCUUGGCUUAACUGAGGAAUUGCUACUAAGACUGGUUUUCUUGAGUACUGGAGAGGAAAGUGGAAUUCCUAGUGUAGCGGUGAAAUGCGUAGAUAUUAGGAGGAACACCAGUGGCGAAGUCGACUUUCUGGACAGAAACUGACGUUGAGGCACGAAAGUGUGGGGAGCAAACA
rnacentral:rRNA from 1 species